ACCGCGCGGGCAUCGAGGUCGUCCUCGACG
rnacentral:sRNA from 1 species